rnacentral:rRNA from 1 species
GAUGAACGCUGGCGGCGUGCCUAAUACAUGCAAGUCGAGCGAACGGACGAGAAGCUUGCUUCUCUGAUGUUAGCGGCGGACGGGUGAGUAACACGUGGAUAACCUACCUAUAAGACUGGGAUAACUUCGGGAAACCGGAGCUAAUACCGGAUGAUAUUUUGAACCGCAUGGUUCAAAAGUGAAAGACGGUCUUGCUGUCACUUAUAGAUGGAUCCGCGCUGCAUUAGCUAGUUGGUAAGGUAACGGCUUACAGGCAACGAUGCAUAGCCGACCUGAGAGGGUGAUCGGCCACACUGGAACUGAGACACGGUCCAGACUCCUACGGGAGGCAGCAGUAGGGAAUCUUCCGCAAUGGGCGAAAGCCUGACGGAGCAACGCCGCGUGAGUGAUGAAGGUCUUCGGAUCGUAAAACUCUGUUAUUAGGGAAGAACAUAUGUGUAAGUAACUGUGCACAUCUUGACGGUACCUAAUCAGAAAGCCACGGCUAACUACGAG